GUGGGUUCAUUUGCUUUAUUUUUAUUUGGGACAGUUUGGGAUUUUUUUUUUCCUUGUUGGUGUGGUGGUUUGGGAUUUGGGGUGGUUGUAUUAUGAUGGUUUUCGGAUUUUUGCUUCUGAUUUUUGCCUUUUGCAACUUUGUGAUGUUACGUAAAUCGUAGGAUCCCGCAUCGGUUGGAUUUUGUUUUGUUUUACCCCUAUGAAAUCUCUCAAGCGAUAUAAGGAAGACGUGUUGUUUUAAUACUGAUAGUGUUGAAAGAAGCUUGAAUUUUUUGUCGUAUGUAACAAUUCCAACCCCCACUUUUUUCAGGGGGGCGGGGAAGGGUAUUCAAUUUUCCUUUUCCUCUUGGACUUUUACUGAGAGGACGCUCUCCUGCACUUGAGAGACAUGUUCAAAGGAUUUGUUUUGGUUUGUUUCUUUCCAGGACAGCAAGUGAUUCUUCACCAGCUGAGCCACCAGGGAAGCCAAAGAACACUGGAAUGCAUAGCCUAUCCCUUCUCCGGCGGAUCUUCCCGACGCAGGAAUUGAACCGGGGUCUCCUGCAUUGCAGGUGGAUUCUUUACCAGCUGAGCUACCAGGGAAGCCCUCUGUCCUCAGCAAUUGUCUGAUCCCACGCAACUGAUUUUGUAUCACUGGAAACAGGCCCACACAGAAUGUAUUUGCUGCACACACUGGACCAGGCUGAGUCAGAUCCAGAACUUUGAUGUCCUGGUUCUAAAUCCACUGUGUUUUUCCAUAGCUUAUCAUUAGAAGAGGAUACGGGGUGGGCAGACCUGCCAAAGAGCCAUUUUCUGUGGCCUUACAUUUUCUGUGACCUUCAGAGAAGUCUCCACUUUUGGACUCCUGAGAUCAUCUCCACUGAGGUUCUACAUCAGUCUUAACAGUACAAUGACAGUAUGGAAAGGAGCAGACUGUCAUUCACAAGUUCUGCAUGUUGGUCCCAGUGUAGGACGCCGUAUAGGAGUCCUCACAGGUUCCUAUGGUACUGUGACUUAUCACUGUUAAUAAACCUAUAAUUAUCUUAGGAGUAGUGUGAUUGCAUUGUAAUUGUGUGUACAUUGGUGUUAAAAAUGUAAAAUUUAAUGUAUUUUUGGCCUAGAAAUAAUGAUGCUACAAUAGCCAAGAGCCCACCUGCUGCCAGUUCUUGAUUACUGAUCCCUUUCUGAAGUAACAGAAAGCAAGGCUCCUUGGAUAAAUGGCUGGUUCUAGGCUAGGACUGGG
ensembl:lncRNA